rnacentral:rRNA from 1 species
GCAAGAUACCACGGGCGCACGGCGGAUGCCUUGGCACAGGGAGCCGAUGAAGGACGCGGCAAGCUGCGAUAAUCCCCGGCGAGGAGCACACAUCCUUCGACCCGGGGGUCUCCGAAUGGGCGAACCCAUCCACAGAGGUGUGGAUAUCCCCGGCCCGAACACAUAGGGCCGGGGAGGACAACCCGGGGAACUGAAACAUCUAAGUACCCGGAGGAGAGGAAAUCAAUCUCGAGACUCCCCGAGUAGCGGCGAGCGAAAGGGGACCGAUGGCCAAACCGUCGAGCGGGCAUACCCGGCAGGGGUUCCGCCGACGGGGUUGCAGGGCCGCGCAUCCGGGGGCUGCCGCCCCCGGGCGCAGGUCCGGCUGGGGAGCGGAACGGCAUGGGAGGGCCGGCCGCAGCGGGUGACAGCCCCGUACGCGAACCCAGACCGGACGGCGCGACGCGGUCCCUGAGUAGGGCCGGGCACGUGAAACCCGGUCCGAACCUGGGUGGACCACCAUCCAAGCCUGAGUACUACCCUGUGACCGAUAGCGCACCAGUACCGUGAGGGAAAGGUGAAAAGCACCCCGGGAGGGGAGUGAAACAGUACCUGAAACCGUGCGCCCACGAGCAGUCGGAGCACCUUUAUGGUGUGACGGCGUGCCUUUUGUAGAAUGAGCCAGCGAGUCGCUGGCGCGGGGCGAGGUUAACCGAAAGGGAGCCGGAGCGAAAGCGAGCCUUAACAGGGCGACUUGAGUCCCGCGCCGCGGACGCGAAGCCGGGUGAGCUAUCCGUGGGCAGGCUGAAGCGGGGGUAAGACCCCGUGGAGGGCCGAACGCACGUCGGUUGAAAACGGCGGCGAUGACCUGCGGAUAGGGGUGAAAGGCCAAUCAAACCCGGAGAUAUCUCGUUCUCCCCGAAAUAGCUUUAGGGCUAGCGUCGCGCGUUCACCGCCGGAGGUAGAGCACCGGAUGGACGAGGGGGCUUCGCCGCCUACCGAAUCCAACCGAACUCCGAAUGCCGGCGGCCCAGAGCGCGGCAGUCAGAGCAUGUGGGCUAAGCUGUGUGCUCGAGAGGGAAACAGCCCGGACCGCCCGCUAAGGUCCCCAAGUUCCAGCCGAGUGGCAAAGGAUGUGCGUCCGCCCAGACAACCAGGAUGUUGGCUUAGAAGCAGCCAUCCAUUCAAAGAGUGCGUAACAGCUCACUGGUCGAGUGGACAUGCGCCGACAAUACACGGGGCUAAGCUGGACACCGAAGCGGCGGGAUUUUAAUUCAUUAGAAUCGGUAGGGGAGCUUCCCAUGGGCGGAGAAGCCGGAGGGCGACCGACGGUGGAGCGCAUGGGAGUGAGAAUGCUGGCAUGAGUAGCGAGAGACGAGAGAGUAACUCGUCCGCCGUGAACCCGAGGUUUCCUGGGCAAGGCUAAUCCUCCCAGGGUCAGUCGGGGGCUAAGGCGAGGCCGGUAGGCGUAGCCGACGCGCAGCAGGCAGACAUUCCUGCACCGCGCACGCGGCGCUACGACCGACGGGGCGACGGAUGGGGGUGGCUCGGCGGGGUUCUGGACGUCCCCGUGAUGGAGCGCGGCCCGCGGACCAGGGAAAUCCGGUCCGCAGGAGGGCGAGGCUCCGGACGAAGCGACUGAGCGAAGCGAGUGAGCCCGAGGUCCCUAGAAAAACCCCUAGGCAGGCGCGUGCGCGCCCGUACCGCAAACCGACACAGGUGGGUGGGUAGAAUAUACCAAGGCGUAAGAGUGAAACCUGGUUAAGGAACUCGGCAAAUUAGCCCCGUAACUUCGGAAGAAGGGGUGCCUGCAGCGAUGCAGGCCGCAGAGAAAUGGCCCAACCGACUGUUUAUCAAAAACACAGCACUCUGCAAAGACGCAAGUCGAAGUAUAGGGUGUGACACGUGACCAAUGCCGAAAGAUUAAGGCAAGGGGUUAGCCGCAAGGCGAAGCUCUAAACCCAAGUCCCGGUGAAUGUCGGCCGUAACUAUAACGGUCCUAAGGUAGCGAAAUUCCUUGUCGGGUAAGUUCCGACCUGCACGAAUCGUGAAACGAGUUGGGCACUGUCUCAACCAGGCGCUCAGUGAAAUUGUAGUGGCGGUGAAGAUGCCGCCUACCCGCAGAAGGACGGAAAGACCCUAUAGACCUUAACUGUAAGCUGUCAUUGUUUCUUCGGUUUUAAUGCUCAGAGUAAGUGGGAGACGCUGAAGACGCCCUUUAGGGGGCGUCCGAGUCAUCAAUGAGACACCACCCUUUGAAACUGGAGGAUCUAACCCUGAGCCGUGAAUCCGGCCAGAGGACCGUGUCAGCCGGUCAGUUUUACUGGGGCGGUAUCCUCCCAAAGAGUAACGGAGGAGCGCGAAGGUGGGCUCAGCCCGGUUGGCAACCGGGUGUCGAGUGCAUGGGCAUAAGCCCGCCUAACUGUGAGACCAACAAGUCGAGCAGAUGCGAAAGCAGGCCCAAGUGAUCCGGCGGUAGAAAGUGGAAUUGCCGUCGCUCAACGGAUAAAAGGUACCUUAGGGAUAACAGGCUGAUCACGCCCAAGAGUUCAUAUCGACGGCGUGGUUUGGCACCUCGAUGUCGGCUCGUCGCAUCCUGGGGCUGGAGAAGGUCCCAAGGGUCCGGCUGUUCGCCGGUUAAAGCGGCACGCGAGCUGGGUUCAGAACGUCGCGAGACAGUUCGGUCCUCUAUCCUCUGUGGGCGUUGGAAAAUUGAGGGGUUCAGACCUUAGUACGAGAGGACCGGGUCUGACGCACCACUGGUGCAUCGGUUGUACUGUCAAGUGCAUGGCCGAGUAGCUAAGUGCGGACGGGAUAAGCGCUGAAAGCAUCUAAGCGCCAAGCCCUUCCCAAGAUGAGUUUUCCCUACAGGUUCGUGGAAGACCACCACGUUGAUAGGUCGCAGGUGUAAGUGCAGCAAUGUAUUGAGCCGAGCGAUACUAAUUACCAAUUGACUUCAUCAU